rnacentral:rRNA from 1 species
GGGGAAUCUUCCGCAAUGGACGAAAGUCUGACGGAGCAACGCCGCGUGUAUGAUGAAGGUCUUCGGAUUGUAAAGUACUGUCUUUGGGGAAGAAUGAUCAGAUUGAAAAUAUUGAUUUGAUAUGACGGUACCCAAGGAGGAAGCCCCGGCUAACUACGUGCCAGCAGCCGCGGUAAUACGUAGGGGGCAAGCGUUGUCCGGAAUUAUUGGGCGUAAAGGGCGCGUAGGCGGAUAGUUAAGUCCGGUGUGAAAGAUCA